rnacentral:rRNA from 1 species
AGUGAACGCUGGCGGUAGGCCUAACACAUGCAAGUCGAACGGCAGCACAGUAAGAGCUUGCUCUUACGGGUGGCGAGUGGCGGACGGGUGAGGAAUACAUCGGAAUCUACUUUUUCGUGGGGGAUAACGUAGGGAAACUUACGCUAAUACCGCAUACGACCUACGGGUGAAAGCAGGGGAUCUUCGGACCUUGCGCGAUUGAAUGAGCCGAUGUCGGAUUAGCUAGUUGGCGGGGUAAAGGCCCACCAAGGCGACGAUCCGUAGCUGGUCUGAGAGGAUGAUCAGCCACGCUGGAACUGAGACACGGUCCAGACUCCUACGGGAGGCAGCAGUGGGGAAUAUUGGACAAUGGGCGCAAGCCUGAUCCAGCCAUACCGCGUGGGUGAAGAAGGCCUUCGGGUUGUAAAGCCCUUUUGUUGGGAAAGAAAAGCAGCAGGUUAAUACCCCGCUGUUCUGACGGUACCCAAAUAAUAAGCACCGGCUAACUUCGUG